GAAACUCUGUGUGCAAGCAUCCUGGACCCUUUAAUAAGAUGAUGCUAUGGAGUACUCUCUCUCCCAGGGACCCUGUUGUCAGCGUCAACAUCAUGAACUGACUAUUCAGCGUAAACACGCACCUUAAAAUUAAAAAAUACAUCCAAACAAAGCCUGCCCGGAGCAGCCUGCCCGGCAGGAUCAGCCGCUGGCUUUUCUCCCUCUAAUCUGCCCACCGAGCAGCGUCACAGAGACUGUCUUUUAUCAAAACAAAGGCUGGAUGCUGGCUGGGAAGUGUGAAGCCCGACUAAAAAUGGCUGAAAAGCUGUCCAAGGCACCCGGGAAGGUGGCCAGCCCCACCCAGCGCAGACACCGACCCGCCGAAAAUACGCUGAAAAUCAGCCCAAAAGGGAGAUGCUAUUGUUCCCUUCGCCUACGCGGCAGCGAGAGACAACAUCACCGCAACAUUUCACCCCCGAACGGCUCAGCGGAGCGCUCGGCAGCAUAAUGAAAGGAUUAAUGGCUAAGCCUGGCUCUGGGUGUGUCCGUGGGCAGGAGGCACCCAGGCGCCCAACGCCACCACCUCCAACCCUCGCCAGCCCCAGCGGGCACCAAUUCACCGUCACCCGGCUUUCCUAAAGCCCGAAAGAACUAAACCAGGACCACCAACUCAAGCUUUACUGGGCAGACUGGAAGGCACAAAUAAGAACGGCACUACCUGGAUCUGAAGCAUGAGACAUGCACAGAGAUCUUGGCAUCAGCUACAGGACACUGCAGUGUUGGAGGAGAACUUUCCUCUGAUCAUAAAUAGAAGCAGGAUGAAAAGCAGUAAAUGGAAUUUUCUUCCCUUCCCUUCAGGGCGCUGUCCAUUGCAAGCCCUCUUCUCCUGUGGGUGUUACUGAAAUUAUUGCAGGUCUUAAGAUGUGUUAGUGAGGUCACAUGAAGCUCAGUGUUGAUGGCACAACCACAAGCCAAGUGGGCUCAUCAGUAUUUGCAUGUUAAUUAGCUCAGCCAGAGAUAAUGACCAGUGUUCACAGGAUGUGUAGAGUAAGGAACUCAGCAAAAUAGAGUUACCUGGUUGCUUUCAGCCCUUCCUAACCUCCUAUUGCUGGAAACCUCUGGCCAAGUUAACACACGUGUAGGGUAUUGAUGGCUGGAUUGUUUCCUUCCAUCCCUCCAACCUCAGCAGGGAUCUUAGAACCACAGAAUCACAGAAUGGUCUGGGCUAGAAGGGACCUUAAAAUCAUCUACUUCCAAACCCCUUGUCCAUGGAGGGGGUUGCCACUCACUAGACCAGGUUUCUCAAAGAGCCAUCCAACCUGGCCUUGAACACUUCCAGGGACGGGGCACCCACAACAGGGAUGGCUGGAUGGGGUGCAGACUGCAGCUCAGCAGAAGACACGAGCACCCUGCCAUGGUGUGUGGGCCACCAGGGUUGUGCUGCUUACAGGGACACCAGAAGUCCUGCAUCAGGACACCAGCCCUACCUUGCUUCCCUUCAAAGGCCCUCCCACUUCCACGGUGACCUGGCCUGCCUGUGCACCACUGAUGAGCUCUGAUGAGGUCAG